ensembl:lncRNA
CUCGCAAAUGCUCGCAUAGAAUCGGAGUUACAGCUGGAUGUGGAAAAAAUAACUGAGUUGUUUGGUGGUGGAGCUACAACAGAGGGCAGCUACCCACCGUGUGUGACAGAAAGGACAUGCCGCCAACGAGACAUAUGAGGCCGGGCAGGCGAUUGCUAACGCGGUGGUCAAUCAUGGAUCAGGGAAAGCGAAGGCAGGAGCGUGAGGUGAACUGAAUUUCAGGGGCUCGGCUGUGAUUGGUGGACCUAAUGACCGGCCUGAUGUGACUGGUUCCUGCGGUGGCCGUGAGCUACAAAAGGGCGACUGAAGAGCUGCGCUGGUUGGGAUGUGUGGCAGACUUCCCAUGCACCUGCCUCUGGUCCAGACGGCGCGGCUGCAGCUACAGUCUUUUAGCAUAAAGUCGGGCAUGUGUGUGAGGUGCGGAGUAAGUAGGGGUGAGCUGCCGAUUAUUUUGAGAUGCCUUCUUUUCUCCUGUGGUUUUUAGACCAGAGAGGUCAGUCUGUGUUAUUUCUUUGUUUUCUUUUCCGUGGAUAGGUUAGAGGGGAACCGAAGCAUAGGUUGAGUUUUGUUUAUUGUUUUGGCCUUGGCUCACUCCGAAGUAUAU